ACAAAGUAGCCCAAGCAAACUUCCAGCCCAAUUCUAACAAAACCCCGUAUUCUUUCAUUAAUGUUUAAAAGCCUCAACUACAGUCUCUCUCCUCCGCGAUGAACUCAUCGACGAAAUCACGAAACAAAAUUUAUUAAUCAAAGAAUGAAAUUUUGCUGCAAUUGGUCGCAACAAAUCAAUUAAUGAAUUAGAAUCAAGCACAAAUAACAAUGAAGAAAGAAGCUCAGACUUUUUAUGGAAACAAGGAGAGAGAAAGCUAGAGAGAGAAAAUAUGUUUCCUUCAACAACAAUGGCGAUUAGCUCAAAAUUACCAUUGGAGCAGUUUCUGAGUAAUAAUUUACAAGGGCGGCGGCUUAACUAUCAGAAGAAUGGGGAGAUAUUCAGCUUCGACGUUUUCGUGAUAUGCCUACCACCACCGAUUUCCCCUCCGUCACAGCUUUUCGGUUUUCUUUUUUUGUCGAACAAGAAAAAGAGGAGACAUAUUGCGAUGAACGGCGGCAGGGGUACUGGUGAUGGCGAAGUUUCCGGCAUCCGACUGCCGCUAUCUCAGGACUGCAACCACUUAAAAUAUAGACGAAACUCAUAAACUUGUAAUGAGUUGAAAUCAAUAAAAUGUGUAUAAUGGAGAUGUGAUCGACAAUUCAGAGUGUGAAUCCUCCACUAGCACCUCCAUUGCCCGGUGCACAACCUAAGAGGGUUUUGCUUAAGUCCAAGGGCAUGUCAUCUUAUGAAGACCAAGGCUCUGUGAGCACUACAAUAACAAAUUUGUAUGACCGCCAUUUUAAUGAAGAUUAUUGAGCUGAUGUUGUCAUUCAUAUAGAUGAUGGUGCCGAAUUUAUGCCCAUGCUAAUAUAUUGCUAUAACCCAGAAGAUAUGGAGGACUAUAUUUUGCACCUUCUGGUAUUGUCUCAUGUGUAUGUUGUUCCUCAUUUGAAAAGGGAGUGUGAGGUACAGCCGGAGAACGACUUGCUUAACAUAAAAACAGUGUCGACGUUCUCCAGAUUCCUCUUCUAUGUUAUGCCCCAAGGCUCAGCUCAUUUGUCUCUGGAAUGCGAUGAAAGAGGCUCACCUAAUCCUAGAAAGAGAGUUUCUAGCGACUGUGGCCGAAGCUGAUAGAGGCUGCUGGAGCAAUUGCGGAGGUUUAUUUCUGUGGAUUAUACAGGGCACUAAACAUGUUUAAAGGAGUUUCUGAUGGUAAAGGGAUCAGCAAUUGGUACUUAAGAAUUGGGUGGUAAAGGGUAAAGAACUAUUUUAAAGAGAUCUGCCAUCACUUGAUGAUUCCCGUGCUGAACAGCUUCUGCCAAGAUGUUCGACUUGGAGGAGGUAAUUUGUUUCAGAUGAUUAUAGCUUGUGGUGGUAUUAGAAAGGAGAUUCUAGAUCAUUAUCUCUCUCCUCCGUUCCCUUGAUAUCUGAAUGUUGAAUUUCCUUCCAUCUUGUUUGGGUUUUCAUUGUGGCAUACUGGCAUUUUAACAAGCAGUUGGUGUUCAUGCUGGGGUUGUUAAAUAGAUGUUGAAAAAUUGCUUUGUGGUUAACAAAUUUCGGCCUCACACAUCUGGGAUUUGACUAGGUUUCUGAAUUGUGUACUUUGUUGUUUGAUAUGGGCUUUUCUCGAAUUGUUUUGAGUUAAUGUAGGAUUAAUGGAAAAAUGGUUAAGGAUCUUAUGUAUGAACUUAAGCUGAAAUUUGAUCAUUAUCAUUGAAGCCUAUUGGAAAUCUGGACUAUGCAACUGC